CUAGACUGGUUAUCUCUCCUCCUCCUCUCUAAUGUAGCUGUACUGGAUCGGUUCUCCCUCCUCCUCUCUAAUGUGUCUAUAAUAGACUGGUUCUCGCUCGUCCUCCUCUUUAAUGUAGAUGUACUAUACAGGUUCUCCCUCCUCCUCUCUAAUAUAUCUAUACUAGACUGGUUUUCCCUCCUCCUCCUCUCUAAUGUGGCUAUACUAGACUGGUUCUCCCUCCUCCUCCUCUCUAAUGUAUCUAUACUAGACUGGUUUUCCCUCCUCCUCUCUAAUGUAUCUAUCAUAGACUGGUUCUCCCUCCUCCUCCUCUUUAAUGUAGCUGUACUAGAAUGGUUCUCCUUCCUCCUCCUCUCUAAUGUAGCUAUACUAGACUGGUUCUCCCUCUUCCUCCUCUCUAAUGUAGCUAUACUAGACUGGUUCUCUCUUCUCCUCUCUAAUAUAGCUGUACAUGACUGGUUCUCCAUCCUCCUCACUAAUGUAUCUAUACUAGACUGGUUGUCCCUCCUCCUCCUCUCUAAUGUAGCUCUACUAGACUGGUUGUCCCUCCUCCUCUAUUAUGUUGCUAUACUAGACUGGUUCUCCCUCCUCCUCCUCCUCUCUAAUGUAGCUGUACUAGACUGGUUCUCUCUCCUCCUCCUCUCUAAUGAAGCUGUACUAGAUUGGUUCUCCCUCCUCCUGCUCUCUAAUGUAUCUAUAAUAGACUGGUUCUCGCUCGUCCUCCUCUUUAAUGUAGCUAUACUAUACAGGUUCUCCCUAAUCCUCCUCUCUAAUGUAGCUAUACUAGACUGGUUCUCCCUAAUCCUCCUCUCUAAUGUAGCUAUACUAGACUGGUUCUCCCUUCUCCUCCUCUCUAAUGUUGCUUUACUAGACUGGCUCUCCCUCCUCCUCCUCUCUAAUGUAGAUGUACUAGACUGGUUCUCACUCCUUCUCCUCUCUAAUGUAGCUGUACUAGAUUGGUUCUCCCUCCUCCUCUCUAAUUUAGCUCUACUAGACUGGUUCUCCCUCCUCCUCUUUAAUUUAGCUAUGGUAGACUGGUUCUCCCUCCUCCUCCUCCUCUCUAAUGUAGCUGUACUAGACUGGUUAUCUCUCCUCCUCCUCUCUAAUGUAGCUGUACUGGAUCGGUUCUCCCUCCUCCUCUCUAAUGUGUCUAUAAUAGACUGGUUCUCGCUCGUCCUCCUCUUUAAUGUAGCUGUACUAUACAGGUUCUCCCUCCUCCUCUCUAAUGUAUCUAUACUAGACGGGUUUUCCCUCCUCCUCUCUAAUGUAGCUAUAGUAGACUGGUUCUCCCUCCUCCUCCUCUCUAAUGCGUCUAUACUAGACUGGUUUUCCCUCCUCCUCUCUAAUGUAUCUAUACUAGACUGGUUUUCCCUCCUCCUCCUCUA
ensembl:lncRNA